GCAUUAAUGGGGUAGUGGUAACCUGGGUCGUUGCCAUUGGCAUUGAUGUCGACCCGCCGGGGGUUCGAUUCCCCCUUAAUGCA